rnacentral:rRNA from 1 species
GACAGAGGAGCCAAGCGUUGUCCGGAAUAACUGGGCGUAAAGCGCACGCAGGCGGUGCGGUGCGUGGGGUGUGAAAACUGGCGGCUUAACUGCAAGAGGCCACCUCAUACGGCCGCACUCGAGCUCUGCAGAGGUCCAUGGAAUUGCCGGUGUAGUGGUGAAAUGCGUAGAGAUCGGCAGGAACACCAAGGGGGAACCCAGUGGCCGGGGCAGCAGCGGACGCGGAUGUGCGAAAGCGUGGGAGCGAACCGG